rnacentral:rRNA from 1 species
UGGGGAAUAUUGGACAAUGGGCGAAAGCCUGAUCAAGCCAUGCCGCGUGUGUGAAGAAGGUCUUCGGAUAGUAAAGCACUUUAAGUUGGGAGGAAGGGCAGUAAGCGAAUACCUUGCUGCUGUGACGUUACCGACAGAAUAAGCACCGGCUAACUCUGUGCCAGCAGCCGCGGUAAAACAGAGGGUGCAAGCGUUAAUCGGAAUUACUGGGCGUAAAGCGCGCGGAGGUGGUUCGUUAAGUUGAAUGUGAAAGCCCCGGGCUCCACCUGGGAACUGCAUCCAAAUCUGGCGAGCUAGAGUAGGGCAGAGGGUGGUGGAAUUUCCUGUGUAGCGGUGAAAUGCGUAGAUAUAGGAAGGAGCACCAGUGGCGAAGCCGACCACCUGGGCUCAUACUGACACUGAGGUGCGAAAGCGUGGGGAGCAAACAGG